rnacentral:rRNA from 1 species
AGUCGAGCGGGGGACAUUAGCAAUAGAUGUCUAGCGGCGGACGGGUGAGUAACGCGUGAGCAAUCUGUCCCAGAAUGGGGGAUAACAGAUGGAAACAUCUGCUAAUACCGCAUAAGACCACGAGGUCACAUGGCCUUGAGGUAAAAGGAGCAAUCCGAUCUGGGGUGAGCUCGCGUCCGAUUAGCCAGUUGGCGGGGUAACGGCCCACCAAAGCGACGAUCGGUAGCCGGCCUGAGAGGGCGAUCGGCCACACUGGAACUGAGAGACGGUCCAGACUCCUACGGGAGGCAGCAAUGGGGAAUAUUGGGCAAUGGGGGAAACCCUGACCCAGCAACGCCGCGUGAGGGAAGAAGGUUUUCGGAUUGUAAACCUCUGUCCUUGGUGACGAAGGAAGUGACGGUAACCAAGGAGGAAGCCCCGGCUAACUACGUGCCAGCAGCCGCGGUAAUACGUAGGGGGCAAGCGUUGUCCGGAAUGACUGGGCGUAAAGGGCGUGUAGGCGGCCGAUUAAGUCUGGAGUGAAAGUCCUGCUUUCAAGGUGGGAAUUGCUUUGGAGACUGGUUGGCUUGAGUGCGGAAGAGGUAAGUGGAAUUCCCAGUGUAGCGGUGAAAUGCGUAGAGAUUGGGAGGUACACCAGUGGCGAAGGCGACUUACUGGGCCGUAACUGACGCUGAGGCGCGAAAGCGUGGGGAGCGAACAGGAUUAGAUAUCUGGUAGUCCACGCGGUAAACGAUGUAUGCUAGGUGUAGCGGGUAUCGACCCCUG